ensembl:rRNA 5S_rRNA 5S ribosomal RNA
UCCAGCCAUACUGCUCUGAGUGCUUCUGAUCUCAUCUGAUCUCAUAAGUUAAUCAGGGUCAGUCCUUGUGAGUACAUGGAUGGGAGACAGUUGAUAGAUCCUAGGGAAAGAAGAGUAUGAUUCUGGGC